GACGAACGCUGGCGGCGUGCUUAACACAUGCAAGUCGAACGGUGAUGCUCCAGCUUGCUGGAGUGGAUCAGUGGCGAACGGGUGAGUAACACGUGAGCAACCUGCCCCAGACUCUGGAAUAAGCGCUGGAAACGGCGUCUAAUACUGGAUACGAAACUGGCCCGCAUGGGCAUGGUUUGGAAAGUUUUUCGGUUUGGGAUGGGCUCGCGGCCUAUCAGCUUGUUGGUGAGGUAAUGGCUCACCAAGGCGACGACGGGUAGCCGGCCUGAGAGGGCGACCGGCCACACUGGGACUGAGACACGGCCCAGACUCCUACGGGAGGAAGCAGUGGGGAAUAUUGCACAAUGGGCGAAAGCCUGAUGCAGCGACGCCGCGUGAGGGAUGACGGACUUCGGGUUGUAAACCUCUUUCAGCAGGGAAGAAGCGAAAGUGACGGUACCUGCAGAAGAAGCACCGGCUAACUACGUG
rnacentral:rRNA from 1 species